GUCUGUGAUGCCCUUAGAUGUUUUGGGCUGCACGCGUGAUACACUGGCCGAGACAGCGAGUUGGUGCGCCGAAAGCCGCGCCAAAACCGGAAUCUCGGCCGUGUUUGGGAUAGACCAUUGGAAUUUGGUCUUGAACGAGGAAUUCUUAGUAAGCGUGCUUCACCAUAGUGCGUUGAUUACGUCCCUGCUUUUUGUACACACCGCCCGUCGCUGUUUCCGAUUGAAUGGCUUAGUGAGGUGUCUGGAUAGACCUCUCGAGGACUAGAAAGGCGACAAACUUGGUUAUUUAGAGGAAGCAAAAGUCGUAACAAGGUACCCGUAGGUGAACCUGCGGGUGGAUCAUUAGGAGUGUUCUGACAGCAUAGAGCUGCCGGUUGUGUGCGACAACCGCGGCGCGUCCGCUCGAGCAUAUGGAGCAUUUUGGAAGAGUACAACUGCCAGCAAGGGAUCAUUUGGCUCUCGCAACGAUGAAGAACGCAGCGAGGUGCGAAACGUGGCGCGACACGCACUCUGUGAGACGUCGAAUCUUUGAACGCAGCAUGCGCCCGCGGAGCAAUCUGCGGGCAUGUCUGCCUGGGUGUUUUGGUUCGUCCUGCGAGAAGGCUCGCGGGACUGUUGCCUUGAGCGUGGUGCGCUGUAUCAGCGUGAAUCUCUUGCGGGUGGAGUGGAGUGGAAGGGUUGUGUGUUGUGUGAUUGAUCGAUGGUCUGAAGAUCGGUGGUCUGACGAUUCAGGUCGGAUAGGUUGACGAUCGCUAGGGCUGACGAUUUAAGUCUCACACACUAUAUCAAACGACACGCCCACCAGCACAAAUCAUCAAACACAGCCCCAGGUCAGAUAAGACUACCCGCUGGACUUAA
rnacentral:rRNA from 1 species